rnacentral:rRNA from 1 species
UACGGGGGGGGGCAAGCGUUGUUCGGAAUUACUGGGCGUAAAGGGCUCGUAGGCGGCCAACUAAGUCAUACGUGAAAUCCCUCGGCUUAACCGGGGAACUGCGUCUGAUACUGGAUGGCUUGAGUUCGGGAGAGGGAUGCGGAAUUCCAGGUGUAGCGGUGAAAUGCGUAGAUAUCUGGAGGAACACCCGUGGCGAAGGCGGCUCUCUGGGACGGUACUGACGCUGAGGUGCGAAAAGCGUGGGGAGCAAACAGG